UAUAGCCAGUGCUUUUGAAAGGCCUUAUCUGACUGAAGUUGGCAGAAACAGGCACAGGCCAUGGACAUUGAAAAUAAAAGGCCAGAGCUGCAUGAAACAGCAGAAUCAUAUUACUAAGUUUGUAAUUUAAUAACAAUACCUACGCCUCUGUAGUCUUAAAACGCUCUCACAUUUUGUAAUUAUUCUGAAAUUAAGGCCUACCCACAUAUUAAAAGAAAUUCAAAGUAAAUCAGAAAGUUUAGGAUCAAAUUCCAUUCCUAAUUACUGUAAUUAACAAACAAGUCCCCGCAAUUUAAGGACUGGUUUGCUCAGUUUUUGUUUUGUUUUGUUUUUUACAUAGACCCCUUUUAUCUAAGUUAAAAACUUUUCAAUAAUCUCUUUUUACAUGAAAAUAUGCAUUCCUGUUCAAAUUGUUUUAAUAUGUUAUAAAAAUGAGGUUCCCAGACUUAGACAAACAAGAUAAUUCUUUUUCUUUUUAUUGUCCCCCUUUCUCUGAAGGCAAAAAAAAUAUUUAGAAGCUGCUCAUCCCUCAAACAAGCACAAAUGCGUAUUUCCACAUUCAUAUCAACAGUGACCGAUACUAAAUAUUUCCAUCUAAUAUCAGGAGAAAACUUUUGUUUUCAUUGCUUCAGUUAUAUGUGUCAGGGAGUUAAUUUAACUAAAAGAGGAAGGAUGUGUGAUGCAUACUAUAGAACCCUGAAGCAGCCUGGCUGUCAACUCUUGAGGGUGCUAUUCUUCCAUCUCAAGGCAGAUCUCACUGUGUAGCAGCUAGGGGAGGAAGGGAGAACUACUCCACAACUCAAACAGAACCAAACAUCACUUAUACCAAGUCAGCUGUGCUGGUUUCUACUAGUAGUGAAGGAAACUAACUAUCUGGUUUAUAUAAGCGAAUUUUGUGACUCUUCAGAGUUUUUAAUUGCACUGGAAUGCUGAAGUCUUGUCAUUUCACCCGAAUUCAGCUCCUGUGCUGUUCUCAGGCCUUUGACUCCCAUGGGCUGCAAAAUGGGUUACCUGGCUACAGGAUCCAGGCUGGCUCUAAAGGGUGUGUGGGAAGCACAGCACUCUUGCUUUCUGACCCACCAGCUCAGAAGUAUGAACAGAACAUGGCAUGUGGCAGCCCUGUUAAGAAUCAGAGUGCUAUUACACAUUUAUUUUACUACCUUGUUAAACUACAAUAUUUCAUUGCUGCUGACAAGGCUCCAGAAUGUCAUGUCUGCAUGCAAAACUUCCUGGGGUGACUGCCAGCACAGCCCAACCUCUCCUCUCUCCCACCUGCAGCAAGGGUUGGGGGGGAAAGGAAACAGAUUUGGCUGGGGCAGGAGUGGGCACUGUGGAGCAGAAAGGACACUACGGCUGUUUUGGAUGUGACAAGGGGACAUUAUCCUCAGCUGGGUGUAGUGCUGUGCCCCAAGUGCACCAGGGGAGGAGGCGGGGAUGGAUCAGCAAUAGUUGCCUAUGCGAAUAAAGAGCUGGCAAUCUAACAUCUUACUUCUUAUGGUGUAAUGAAACACAAAUUUCUCCCCUCUCCUGUGUUUUCUGCCCCAGGGAGGGGAAACAUGAUAGUGCACAUAAAAGCUGCCACACAUGACAAUUUUCAAAGGAAAGGUCUUUACGUGCCAAAGCCUUGGAGGGCAGUAGGUAGAUCAGCAUGGUAUGACAAGUCAACAGGACCUUCCCUUUAGCUGGGCAAGGCACCCGGUGACUGAUUACCAUUUUUGAUGUGCAGUUUGGUCCAAUGACAGAUGAUUUAAUUAUCAUUACAUCUUUUCUCCUUUGGAGAAACACUGUUUACAACUCCAAGGUGAACCAACUCAAAUCCAUGCUAUCUUCUUCUUCCCUUUUUUGUAACACUCCUCUUGUCUUCAGGGUCUUUAUGACCAUAUCCUCAACCCUCCCUGUCCUUGUGCUCUACUGACUUCUGCUUCCUCUCCUGAGAGCUCAAUGCUUUGCAAGUACAAAGGCAGCUGCCUGGGGUCAUCUUUUCACUUCCAUUUGUCUGGUUACUGCUCACAUCCAUUCAAACAGCGCUCAUAACCCAAUCCAUUCCCAACCUGUCUCCUGUAAUCAUGUACAAUCAGUCUGUGAAGUUGUAAGUGGUUUAUCCUUUCACAGUUUUUGUAUCCUUAAUGAGCCAUUACAUAAAUAGUUUCUUUUUUAUAGUUAGGACCAUAUUCAUGGUGCUCAGAAUAUUCUGAAUCCUUUUCAGAUACACGAUUAAGUUCUGUUACAAAGACCACAGCUGAAAUACCACAAAAAAAGGAUGUGAUAGUAUUGGUCCCCACCUCUCACUAUACUGUUUUCAUCUGCAAUAAUAGGCCAUGACCUUUGCCUGAAGACUUCCCUGGAUUAUGUUUACAGUUCUCCUGCUGGUAUGCAUCAAUUAUCCCUUUCCUGAAUAUUUGGCCUAUCCACAAAUCAUCCAUGGUCUCUCUACACUUUUAACUCAGACUAAACAAUAACCUCCCUUCUUUCACAUCUGAAUUUACUUUCCAAUUUUCUGUCUACCUUACAAACUUCAUGGUUUCUCUCAUCAUGAAUAGCUCAGGAUCUUUAAUUCAUUCAUGCUCACAAUCUCUGGGAGGUGGAGCACUGUUGUUACUCUCUAUUUCACAGCUAGAUAUUGGCCAUAUAAGAAAUAGGGAGCAAAGCUCAGAAUUUAAUCUCUCCUACGUUCUGAGCUAAUAGCACAACCAGUGAGCAUGCAGAAGUUUGAUUACUGCUUCCCUGCAAAUGAAACACCUUAUUUUUCAUACACUUCCUUGAUAUUUUUAACUAUUUUUAAUUAAAAAGUUCAAUUACCUUCUAUCUUGAAAUAAAUUCUGAAGUGAAUAGUAAUAGGGUAGUUAUGAUACUCCAAACUCAGUUCCCAACUCUGCUUUUAGGAGAAAAGUGUUAUCAAAAUACUCUCCAAAGACUGUAACACUUAGAAUAUGGCUGGCUGCUUCUCAUGGCAUCAUCCAAGAUGUAAUCCAAAACUGGAGGUUUAAGCUCCUUGUAAAUCCAGGAAACUGCAACAUGGCUUCUACCUGUGUUUGCACUCAGGUCACACCAACUUCAGGCAUGUAAUUUAGAUGCUCUCAAAGUGCCUAAAUGAGCUAUGCAGGGAACUCAGGCUCACAAAUCUCAAUGUCCUAAGCUGCACCUAAAACUAGAUACUGAAAUAACAGGGUCUCAAUAAGUCAUCAUGCAUGAAGUCAGCUGGACUGCACACCUGGGUUAGCAUCACUAUUCAACAAAAUCCUACUAGUUAGAGCAAUAGCAUCUCCUCACUUGUAUGAGCAUCACUCUGAUACUCAAAGUGUACUAUUAUUAUCAGCUCCUCUCAAAAAUACUGAUUUUCAAUACUAACUAAAGUAGUGGCUAAGGCUGAGCACAUGUAUUAUAUUGGUGACUAUUCCAGCACACAUCUAUGUAGACACUGCAGUGUAACACUGAGCUCCACAAGAGUAGAAUACCCUUGUUUGGCUGUCAUACACAUGUUCUGACUUGGCACUAAUCCCUUGAAAAUAUUCACUUAGUCAUCCUGUAACAUUAUUCACAUCUGUUCUUUUAAUGCAAAAGGUAGUUUAUUGGGGUAAGUGUAACUUGGCAACGUGUAAGGAGACCACGUAUAGCCAAUAGCAAAUAAUCUGAUUUUCAGAAGGUACUUUUACAAAGGUGGGCUAAAACAUUUUGAAAAGACUACUUAAGGAAUGAGGAACCUUGCCACUGACCUAGAUGUUACUUUUUGCUGACUUCAAAAAACUUUGAAAAAGAAGAUGCUGCAGUGUGGCUCAGACUUCAUCACUCUUUCUAAGCAGUUUUUGUUUGCACUGUAGACAUUUUCCUAAGACUAUCUGCAAAAAUAAGACAAAAAUAUUUAUAUUAUGGAAAUACCAGAAUAUGUUAGGCACUUUCCAGAAGUAUAGAAAAAUACCCUUUGCCACAAAAACAAUUUAGAAUCAGAAGAAAAAGGUAUGAAAAGUGAGUGCGAUGGGACUGGAAAGGAAGAGGAAGACCAGCUUGUAAAAACAGAGUCCUGCCAUUUCUUAAUUAUGUAUUUUAGUACAUGAAACAUCCUGCCACAAAACUCAGUCCCUGACAUGGGCUAAGUUCCAUGUUUUUAUUCUCUCUAAAUGAACUUUAUUCCCCUUCAGAGCAGAAUUUUACAAGGAUCAAAAUUAACUAAAGAGCAAAAAAUGUGAUAAAAAGUACAAUGCAGAUGUUAAAGCCUCAUGCUGUUGUUCCACAGAUGAACACAUUGAUAAAUCUAUGGCAGGCUUCAGCAGGAUAAGAACUGCAUGAGGCCUCUCAGAGAACUCAAGGAUCUGCUGGGCCUUUUACACUUCUCUUACCUUGAAGCUAUUGUGGGAUUCACAAGUCAGACAAUGGGACAGCCUCACUAUGCUGUAGCUGAUGGUUCUUGAUUCCAGCCUGCAAAGAUUCGAUGCUCAAAGGUUCUAUGGAAUUAGGGGCUAAGACCUGGAAAUAUGAAGGAGGCAGAAAAAACAGUUAACUCACCAAAUGUGGAGAAUCACUUUCUGGAAGGAGGAUGGCACUGUUGAGAUAAGUACUUCUCUUCCUUUCUGUUGGGGACAAGAGAUAAAGUGCUUGCCUGACAGAAGUAUCACUGUCAUUGAUUAUCUAGCAAAAAAUCCUCUAGAUGUAAUAGUUCAGUGACAGACAUGUUGGAAUUACCAGUAGGCUUUCUCAAGUUUUCCUCCCGCGUAUUUUAUGUGAUCCAGGCAUAAAUCACUCGUUUUCUAUUCGUGUCUGUCAAAAGAAGUGGGGCAGAGUAAACAAUCAGGUGGACUAUCCCCUGCCAGCUGACAAGCUCUCAGAUUCUUUCUUCUUUUCAAGUGCUAUUCAUGGAAGGGUUUAUGGUAUUUCAGAGGUCAUAUAGGUUGCAGGGAAUAAUAAAGCUAUUGAUAAGAAAGAAGUUUGUGUCGUCAUACUCCCAACACCAUGAGACUGAAGAAGAAACAGAACUAUGCCUCUCCAAUUUCAUUGCUUUUCUGGAAGGGUAUUUACUUUAGACUUCUGUUCUGAAGAACCAUUUUGAAGUCUGGGUAAAAUUAAUAAAAUUUAUCCUUAAAACUAUUUACUCUUCUUGAUAUCAUAUGAAUAAGGCAAAGUUCUUCACUAGAGUAUAGUCCGUGACAAAUAGUGUCCUAGUAAUUAUGGGUGUGGAUUUUCAUGCAGUGACUGAUGAUGCCUUGGAAAAGAGCCAUGGCACUGUGCAUUCAUAAACUAAGCUAUCUAAAUCCUUGCAGACCUCAUUUAUGCUUUUGGGAAUAUAGGACAGGUGUGGCAGUUACUAAACCUGGAUACUUGAGAAUUCACCUCUUAUUCCCAGGUGUGGGCCAUUAAUUCUAGCUCAGACUUGUCCAGCUCUAACAAGUCUCUUUUGAACCUGAUUUUAUAUGUGCACAUAUACACACAGGGUACAUAGCAUUUUCCUUUCAAUCCAUUUAUCUACUUUGUUUUUCCUCAUCUGUAGCUAUGCAGCCUCACCUUACAUUUUACACACACAGCAGCAAACUCCUGAUCAGUGAGUCUACAAAUCUGUCACAUUCUGUAGAUACCAGAAGCCUUGCAGUUUGAAUUGUUUAGUACAAUUACUGAAGAGGUUUGGGUAAAAUUCAAGCCCAAGCCCCAGUGCAAUUCACAACAAUGGCUAUACCAAUUUUAAUUGGAUCACUAAACAUCAGAACAAAGCCAGAGACCCCUCAAACACAAACAUAGGUUGAUAAAAACUGUAAAAUUCUGUAAGAAAACACCUGUAAAUGAAUGUGGUGCUCUUUCUUUUUGCUAGAUGCUCUUCCAGAAAUCUGAACACUUUGGGGUAAUGUGGCACACCUCUAACCUCCUUCCACAUCGGGUAAUCCUCAGGGAAACACUUGAUAUUUUCAAAUACCUACAAGAAAGCUUCUAAUGGCAUAUUCUGAUGUUUCUAUAGAAUAAAGAAUUGUCAAGAUGACAAAGGAUUACUUGGGGUAUGAGAUGGCCUUCUAGCUCCAAACCCCUCAAGAGGCCACUGGUGCAGUGGUAUGCUUCUCAGCUCAAAGUUCCAUCUUGUGAAACGAAACAUUGACACAAGAGAUCCUGAGCUACUUUGGCUUAAAGCACAAAUUCCUGAUAGCAUGAGGGAUAAGCAUAGGCUGAGUUUCACUAAAAAAUAGACUGAUCAUCAACAAGUAUCUUGUAGCUAUGAAAGAGGAGCCUGCCUCUGUGUGACCGUUAAAAGAAUCCAGCCUGCUAACCAGAACAACAUGAAAAAAAAAGUGAAACCUGCAAAAAAUGGGCACACCUUUACCUAUGCAGCUGGCUAAUUCUAAAGGUGCUAGCUAAAAGCCUCUGAUUAAAAAUGUAACUUCCUGAUAACAGCAUGAGAUGAAAAUACAUCAGUUAAGGAACUAAAUCUCAGAGCAAAACUAAUGCAGAUUCUACCUAGAUAAAACCAGUCCAUCCCGCAUGAAGUCUCAAUCCCCCACAUAAAAGAGGAAAUGGGAACAGCUGUAGCUGGAGAGAAGAGUGGCAUGUAACACCUAGGGAAGUGACAGCUUGGGCUUCUAGUAAAAGCAAUCAGUGAUACACUAUUUUUCUCAGACACUGUAAGAUUUCUUUGUUGGCCUGAUUAAUUUUGCUAUCACCCAAAAGUGUGCUGAAGAUGUGGGGAGGGAAUGACUGUUUUUUUAUUUGUUGUUUUGUUUGGGUUUUUUUGGUCUUCCUCCAUUUGAGAAACUUUCCUUUUACUCUGCCCAUGUAAAUGAGCAACCCUAGGUAUCUGAAUAACUUGAACAUUUUGUUAACUGCUAUUAAGGAAAAUAGUACUGGAGGAUGAAGAACUACAAACUGGAAAUGCUUAGUUGCAAGACUUCUUAGCUGCACAGAGAGAAAGAAAAAAGGCAUUGGAUUUUUCCUGUAAAUGAACUCCAGGCAAUGCUACAAUAAAACGAAUGUUUGCUAUUAGAACAGGAUGGCUCCUUUCUUUACUUAGUGUUUUCUAGAACAAAAGUACUGCAGCUUUCCAAGGCUGUAGUGAGUCAGUGCUAGAAUUAGAAGUACAAUCCUGACACAGUGGUCACCACUAAGCAAUGUUUCCUCUCCUUUCUCUUCACCUAUUCAAAACGGCCACCUAUGACAAAUCAUCUAUUAAUAGACAAGUUCAUAUAAUUUAAAUUAUCAAUCUGGAUUGAAAAACCACUCAGAAAUUCUGUACUUAACAAGUGUAAGGUUUUUAAAACAAAGAUGUAUUGCUAAUACUUUUGGUUCUGCAUUUCAUUUUUUGAAAUAUAACCAGAUUCCUGAUAAAAGAAACUCAGCACCCCUUCUGCUUUCUGAAGCAUUUAUAACCUCAGCUCUGCAAAACUUGGAUUUCUAACAAUGGUCUUGGUGCAGGUCAGUGCUCAAUGAGAAGAGUAAUCCUUGGAAUACCAAAAUGUAAGGGUUCUUAAGAGAAGGGAGGUUUGCAAUAAUAAGAUUAGGGAAAACCUCUAUUACAGACUUUGUAUAUCUGUUAUAUUCUUGAAUGAAUGACAUCUGCUUGGUGAUUAUAUGGAAUGCAAUUUCUGCCCAGUUUUGAACAAAUCUAGGGAAUAGGGGUAACACUUACCAAGAAAAGCUUUUAUUUAAUUAUAAUUCAGCCCAUCUGCCCUGAAAUACAUGAACACACUUUACAUCACAGCCUGGAACAGUGUGUUUUUACCUAAGGGGUCUGUUUAUUUCCACUUGUAAAUAAUAUAAACAAAUAUUUUUAUUUUGCUGUCUUCUAACUCACUAGAAUAGAAAUUACUGACUUCUCAUCUAAAAUAAUUCAAAGGCAUGGAUGUUAGACAAGACAGAAAAACUACACAAGCACCAUGAUGUGUGAAAAGUAAACCUUCAUAGAAAGGUGCAAGUCUGAAGUAAAAAAAAUUCCCCCAUGAGGGAAAUGGAGGCAAAUAAUUGCAUGCUUACAGAAAGACUGUAUUUUUUAAAGUGUUGGUUGUAGUCCAGAGUAUUUGUAGGGUUUUUUAGGACAAAGAAAUAAUUGCCCUUGAAGACAGAAGUAGCAAUCAUAAACACUGGAGUCAGACACAACAGAAAUGAGACUGUGGCAAAACAGUUUUUACACUGUAGAGUGGAAGGCUGCAGAGAAAUUAUUAAAUUUUUUUUAAGUGUUAAGGGAACAUACUUGGUGGGUAAUGAACAGGGGUAAUGAAUCCCAACAGGUUUCUCUCUCCUUUACACGUUCUGCUUCCACUUCCCACAGAUAGUUCCUAUUUCCUCAAUAGCCUUUCUGCUUCUAACCAUCAUUUGAUGCAGGUUACUUGAAAAUGCUGAAUACCUGUGCAAUUUUUUUCAAGGACUAAAGUCUUGAAAGAAUCAUGAAACUGAAUUUUGCAGGUGAAAAUGAGAUCCUAUGUCAAUAUUAUCUAUAGUUGUACAGAUAGACUGUUGCUAUAGGAACACAUCCAGACUCAGAGUGAAAAGGACUCCAUCCCAACAGGGACCUGCCUGCUGGCAACACACGACUCCAGAGCUCAUGUAACUUGUAAAUAAGCAGAUAGAAAACAUUCCCCAAGCAGAUCUAUAUGCUAAACCGGAGUAGCAUGCAAAGGGGUACUUUUUACCUCUGCACUUAAAUAAAAACUACUUUUUCUAUACGUA